GUCUACAGACAAACCACCCUGAACACGCCCGAUCUUGUCUGAUCUCGGAAGCUAAGCAGGGUCGGGCCUGGUUAGUACUUGGAUGGGAGACAAUGCUGAAAGCCAGUCACAAACG
ensembl:rRNA 5S_rRNA 5S ribosomal RNA